rnacentral:lncRNA from 1 species
UCAAAAUUUAUCAUCAAGAAAAUUUGUGUCCCAUGAAUAAAAUAAUAAUGAAAAUAUAUUACCUUUUAGCGGAACUUGAUAUGUUGUUCUUCGAUGGAACUUUCUGCUGUUAAUCUAAUCUGGCCAUCCAAUAACCCAAAUGAUCUCUGUAUUAUUACAACUUUAAGAGAGAAGUAAUCUCUCAAUAUAGUAAAUUGCCAAUGGAAUGUCACAUUUAAUAAAUCAUACAGGACAUUAAUGUCAUGUUGUUGCCAUUUUGGCAAUAUUUGAAAACUUGAAACUUUUAAAACGACAAUGAUUUUGGCAACUAUGAGGAAUUGAAAGCUGCUAUGUAAUGUAGCCACAUAAUUGAAUGAAAUCUUAAAUAGCUGAUUGAAUGAAUAGGUGUCAAGUCAAACCUGCAGCAGCCAAGUGAGCUUACUAUUCGGAUAAGGUAUGCAAACACCUUCCCUUUGCUUUACAUAUGAGCCUGAAACGUGGUUCAAAAUACUUGAUCAAGAAAUAAUAUUUCAACAACAAAAAGCUAAUACAAUUUAAAAUAAAAUAUGAGAUGUCUGAAGAUUUAAACCAAUGAAUUUGAAAAUCACCAUCAGACGUCUCUCCAACGUUUGUUCCCUCUGAAUUUCUACAUCAGAAACGAAUUCUUACUGUACACAAUAGAGUAUAAUUAAAUCAUGUGGCUAGUGGCAUAAUGUGUAGCUUAUUUGCCCUGAGAUUUUGCCUCAAAUAAUUACAAUACUAAAUAAUAAUUCGAUCAAUUAAUAUAGCUUACUUCUCUCUACAUUUGAACAAAAGACAAUGUAAAAGAAGAAAACAAAACCAUCCAUC